rnacentral:lncRNA from 1 species
GCAAGUUACAUUGCCAAUAUGUUAAUCCAUUGUAGCCAAAAACACAGUACAAAUACAUUUGCGUUUGUUUCAAAAAAGUGUAGACUGAAGCUCUCUACACUCUGAUGCAACUUGAUCAUACUCUGACUUUAGUUUCUCUUGUACCUCUUGAGAUAGUUCACCCUUUGAAGGCUUGGUCAUCACUAAAACACAACAAGUUGGCCUCUUCGUUGCUCCUGCCGUUGCAAGGUCCUGGACAAAUAUCUCAAAAUAAUUUAAUAUAUGAACUUUCAAAGUACUAGAGUAAUUGGAGUUUCUUAACAUAUAUAUGAACACCAAAUGAUUGAAUAGCAGAUUUCAACCAUGUUUUUCUUAUUACCAUACUUAAAACGAAACUGAAAAUAUCACGUGUUGAAUUGUUGAUAUAUUAUGUAGGUAAGAGAAGCAAAAAAUUAUCAGAUCUUCCUCGAUAAACUGUGCAAUGACUAUUGUAUUCAUAAUAUACAGAUCUAUGAGCUGGAUUAUAGAUGACAGAUGCGUCUAUAAAAAAAUUAAAAUAGCUGAAAGAUGUUUCUUGAAGUAUGAUAUACUCUAAAUGAUUCAAUCCAGUAUAGAAAAGCAUACAUUCCAUUCAAAUAUGCUAUAUGGACUCAACUCCUGUUAACACAAUUGAUUAAAUAAAGAAAAGCACUCAAGUUACAAAACAAGGUGCAACAUCAUCAAUGAGGAAAAAGCCUCAACUUUUAGUUAUUUAUGACAUCAAAUUAACAUCAGGCUAUGUAUAUGACAACAAAUUUUCCUUAUUCUAAAGAGAGAUUAGGAAAACAGGCAGUCAAUAGUAUUAACUAAAUGAUAAAAAGCAUCAAGAUUCAGCGCAAAGUUGGUUACUUACUUCUUUAGAUGAGACAUAUACAUAUGGAAUGUCCUUAUCCUCGCAUAAAAUCGGAACAUGAGUGAUGACAUCAAUAGGCGAUAUGUUCCCAGCUAUAAUACACACUC